CAGAGGUGCCAAGCGUUAGGCGGAAUCACUGGGCUUAAAGCGUGUGUAGGCGGACUUGUAAGUACCUUGUGAAAUCCCACGGCUCAACCGUGGAACUGCUUGGUAUACUGCUUGUCUUGAGCCACUUAGGGGCUGUCGGAACAAACGGUGGAGCGGUGAAAUGCGUAGAUAUCGUUUGGAACGCCAACGGUGAAAACAGACAGCUGGGAGUGUGCUGACGCUGAGACACGAAAGCCAGGGGAGCGAACGGGAUUAGAUACCCCGGUAGUCCUGGCCCUAAACGAUGUCGACUAGAUCGUGGUGCCUCUGACGGCAUCACGGUCGAAGCAAAAGUGCUAAGUCGACCGCCUGGGAAGUACGGUCGCAAGGCUA
rnacentral:rRNA from 1 species